rnacentral:rRNA from 1 species
UACGUAGGGGGCUAGCGUUGUCCGGAAUCAUUGGGCGUAAAGCGCGUGUAGGCGGUCCGGUAAGUCCGCUGUGAAAGUCGAGGGCUCAACCCUCGAAUGCCGGUAGAUACUGUCGGGCUAGAGUGCGGAAGAGGCGAGUGGAAUUCCUGGUGUAGCGGUGAAAUGCGCAGAUAUCAGGAGGAACACCUAUUGCGAAGGCAGCUCGCUGGGACGUUACUGACGCUGAGACGCGAAAGCGUGGGGAGCAAACAGG